UCUCCGUUGGUGAACCAGCGGAGGGAUCAUUACCGAGUUUACAACUCCCAAACCCAAUGUGAACAUACCAAACUGUUGCCUCGGCGGGGUCACGCCCCGGGUGCGUCGCAGCCCCGGAACCAGGCGCCCGCCGGAGGGACCAACCAAACUCUUUCUGUAGUCCCCUCGCGGACGUUAUUUUUACAGCCCUGAGCAAAAAUUCAAAAUGAAUCAAAACUUUCAACAACGGAUCUCUUGGUUCUG
rnacentral:misc_RNA from 1 species